rnacentral:tRNA from 1 species
GCGCGUAGCUCAGUUGGAAGAGCAUUGGUUUAGUAUUCCAAAGGUCGUAGGUUCGAAUCCCACCGUGACCG